CUGAAUCUGCCCUCAGAAUUGAGCCAAAGUAUUUGGUCAUAAAUGAUAAUUUUACAUGGAAACCCACACAUUUCGUUUCAGGCAAAUACAUAACAAUUCUAAUAAAAUACUAGUAAUUCUUUUUAAAGAUAUAUUGCAUGAAUUCGCAAUCAAUCAGAUUUGGGAGUCUAGGUACGUCUACUUCCACCACGCUACUGAAUACCAUCCUGCUCUACUUGUCAUUCUCACCAAAGUGAGUGAGUAACUUUCCACCCAGAGCCCACAUAGUCGUCGUUCAUAGUCCUUCUUAUCAGAAACGACGACGACGACAAUUUCCUACCACAACAAUGCAUGGUUCGCUUCGUGGAAAUUCUCUUUCACACACUCAUACAUCGAUCAUCGUACCCAGCAGUCGCCUUCGGGGGGAGCAUUCGACAACGUGACAUAAAUAUACAUGCUUUUGAUAAAUGGACACUACAUGCUGGGAGUCUUAUUACGGUGGAAAGAGCGAGAGAGUGAGAACCCCACUGUGACUGACUCUCUCUUUUGAUUGUAACUUCUCACACGAUCCUGUUGUGUUCGUUGAGGUUACUGCGUUUUCCUCAGGCUUUCCUCGCCAAGUAAGCGAUGAGUGACUUUCCACUGUGUUUGACAGAUUGUACACAACAUCACGGUUCAGCAGCUGUCAAAAGUGUUCAAGUUCAAGAGGUUUCGAAUGUGUGAACUUUUCAACAUGUUUUCAAUUAUUUUUUCGUCAAGUGUGCAAACACGAUUAAACAUUAAAAUCACUUAAGCAGUGCCGUGAUAGCUGGCCGGCUUUUGCAGGUGACGACACCAUCAGGUUGGUUUUACUGACCGCAACCAGCAGCACACACGCUGUGCGCAGUUUGCAGUGCUGGAGGUUUGCGUGUCGGCACGUAUCGUCGUCGUGAACUGUUUUUCACCCUUUCCGCAGCAGCAGCGCCACCGCAACCGGAAUUGGAAAGCAAUAGUUACUGCGAUCCUUUGGAUGGCACGGAGGGAACUUUUUCAACCCUGCCAUGCCGUACUUUUUAUUUUAGAAAGCAAAAUUAGUUAAUAAACAUACUAAAUAUUUAAAAUUGCCACUGAA